rnacentral:rRNA from 1 species
GACGAACGCUGGCGGCGUGCUUAACACAUGCAAGUCGAACGGAAAGGCCCGGCUUUUGUGGGUGUCUCGAUUGCCGAACGGGUGAGAAUAACUUGAGUAACCUCCCCUUACCUUUGGGAUAACUCCAGGAAACUGGGGCUAUUACCGCAUAGAAUCUCCUGCUCCAUGUUGGUGGUUGGAAAGUUACGGCGGUGGGGGAUUGACUGGCGGCUUACCGGCUUGUUGGGGGGGUAGUGGCUUACAAAGGCUUUGACGGGUAGCCGGCCUGGGAGGGUGACCGGCCACAUUGGGACUGAGAUACGGCCCAGACUCCUACGGGAGGCAGCAGUGGGGAAUAUUGCACAAUGGGCGGAAGCCUGAUGCAGCAACGCCGCGUGCGGGAUGAUGGGUUUCGGGUUGUAAACCGCUUUCGCCUGUGCCGAAGCGUGAGUGACGGUAAUGGGUAAAGAAGCAACGGCUAACUACGUG